UACGGAGGGUGCGAGCGUUGUCCGGAAUCAUUGGGCGUAAAGGGCGCGUAGGUGGCCCGGUCAGUUCGUGGUGAAAGCGCGGGGCUCAACCCUGCGUCGGCCUGAUACUGCCGCGGCUGGAGCACUGUAGAGGCAGGCGGAAUUCCGGGUGUAGCGGUGGAAUGCGUAGAGAUCCGGAAGAACACCGGUGGCGAAGGCGGCCUGCUGGGCAGUUGCUGACACUGAGGCGCGACAGCGUGGGGAGCAAACAGG
rnacentral:rRNA from 1 species